rnacentral:lncRNA from 1 species
UAAGUUUAUAGUCAAAGAGGUAAUUGUUAUUUCCAUAAAGGUCAUAUGAUAUCAAAGAGGUGGAUAAAGGUAGUUUCCACAGGCCAUAAAGAUAUCUUGAGAAUAGUUACUACAAGUGAUCAUAGACAAUCAAUAUUGUCCAUAGGCUAUCUAAUGAUAACUUAUCGAAUGAGGUGGUUAUAACAAGGUAGAAGGGAUGGUAAAAGCUUCUCAUAGACGUAGCAAAAUCAUAGACAAAGAUCUAGAAUCAUCAUAGACUUGAGUCGUGACGAUCAUAGACAAAGUUGUUGAUUGCAAGCGAAGUCACUAAAUAUUAGGGUCAUGAAUGAGAUCUUGAAGAUAUUGAUUGCAAAUGAAAAUGUUGCUGACCAUAGCUGAGGCCGUCAAAGAUGUUAAUCAUGGACAAAGUCAACGAGGACAUCAGUCAUGUCAAAAGCAUCACAAUUCAAAGAUUAAAGCCACAACUGAAGUCGUCAAAAUUAGAUGCCAAAUCCAGAAUGUCAAUUGUAGACAGGAUAAUUGAUUGUGCUGAUGGUGGAUGAAGUCUCCAAAAACUUUAGAUGUCAUCAAGAACUUCCAUCAUGGCUAAAAUUGUUGUAGACUUUCCCGAUCUACAUGACAAGUGGUGACUAGCCCAAAAAUCCAAAUUUUCUUGCUCGUUGCUUCCUCUCCAAGCACUUUCUUUCUCUCUUACCACUCCCAUCCCGACCUGAUCUUCUACACUCUCUUCAAAUAUUAAAGCCACCACCCGCCUCAUCUUUGAUGACCUUGUCACUGCCCUCGUCCGCUUUGCCAACUUCAUCCUAGGCAAGCAUACUAUCUUCAUUGGUUAAGAUGGCUGUCAGGAAAGGUGAUAGAGAUUGGUUUGACACACUAGGGACAGAAGGCGAACAAAGGAAUGGUAAAGAAAGAAAGGGGCAAAGGAAAAGGAUUAGUAUGUUGAGAAAUGCAUAAAAAGAGCCAAGAGCUUCUCGUCUUACAUAGAAAAAACAUGGGAAGAAAGAAAGAGAAUUUGUGGUUUUAUCAUUCCCAGGUGGUCAUUCCUUUGCAUGGUAUUUUGAAAUGACAAAAUCUCAUCCAAACAGCUUACGACAAAGUUCCUCAUUGUUUAAGAUUCCAAUGGAAAGUCCAAUUUCCAUGGAAUGCAAAAGGAAUUGAUUAUCUUUUCAUGAAAAAGAAUUGAUUGUUGAUAUUUAUAAUAGCCUGAUCUAAUGAUAUAUAUACCUUAUAACUACAAGUAUAGUUAAUAAUCAUAACAAUAAAGCAUGAAACAUUGUCUCGAUGGCUAAGAUUUGUAAGCAUAUAGGAGAUUUGGAUAUUAAAUCUCCACUUAUUUUUCCAAUUUUCUCAUUUCUAAGAGUUAGUUUUACUCCUUUUCACCCAGCCGGGUCACCUGUUUUCUCAAAAACCGUCCGCUUCAGCCUAAUUUUCACCAGGUCAAUUGCAUUUCUAGUCCGAUUAUGAAACCAAAUCGGAUAGGGGACUAUCUCACCGAUUUUCCAGUAUGACUAGCCAAUCUGGUAUUAGAAACUAGCUAUUGAGUUAUGAUUCUUUGGAUGUCUAAUUUACUUGUUCAACUAAUAUUUUGACUAUCCAACACUCACUAAAAAACACUAGGUGUGGUUAAUAAAUAUAUGUAAAUAAAUAAAUAUUCUCUUACAUCUCAGAAGGAUAUGGUUAAGAAAAUUACUAAUCAAAUACAUUUAUGAUUGCCAUUUACUUAAAAAUUUGUUU